UUAAGCGACUAAGCGUACACGGUGGAUGCCCUGGCAGUCAGAGGCGAUGAAGGACGUGCUAAUCUGCGAUAAGCGUCGGUAAGGUGAUAUGAACCGUUAUAACCGGCGAUUUCCGAAUGGGGAAACCCAGUGUGUUUCGACACACUAUCAUUAACUGAAUCCAUAGGUUAAUGAGGCGAACCGGGGGAACUGAAACAUCUAAGUACCCCGAGGAAAAGAAAUCAACCGAGAUUCCCCAGUAGCGGCGAGCGAACGGGGAGCAGCCCAGAGCCUGAAUCAGUGUGUGUGUUAGUGGAAGCGUCUGGAAAGGCGCGCGAUACAGGGUGACAGCCCCGUACACAAAAAUGCACAUGCUGUGAGCUCGAUGAGUAGGGCGGGACACGUGGUAUCCUGUCUGAAUAUGGGGGGACCAUCCUCCAAGGCUAAAUACUCCUGACUGACCGAUAGUGAACCAGUACCGUGAGGGAAAGGCGAAAAGAACCCCGGCGAGGGGAGUGAAAAAGAACCUGAAACCGUGUACGUACAAGCAGUGGGAGCACGCUUAGGCGUGUGACUGCGUACCUUUUGUAUAAUGGGUCAGCGACUUAUAUUCUGUAGCAAGGUUAACCGAAUAGGGGAGCCGAAGGGAAACCGAGUCUUAACUGGGCGUUAAGUUGCAGGGUAUAGACCCGAAACCCGGUGAUCUAGCCAUGGGCAGGUUGAAGGUUGGGUAACACUAACUGGAGGACCGAACCGACUAAUGUUGAAAAAUUAGCGGAUGACUUGUGGCUGGGGGUGAAAGGCCAAUCAAACCGGGAGAUAGCUGGUUCUCCCCGAAAGCUAUUUAGGUAGCGCCUCGUGAAUUCAUCUCCGGGGGUAGAGCACUGUUUCGGCAAGGGGGUCAUCCCGACUUACCAACCCGAUGCAAACUGCGAAUACCGGAGAAUGUUAUCACGGGAGACACACGGCGGGUGCUAACGUCCGUCGUGAAGAGGGAAACAACCCAGACCGCCAGCUAAGGUCCCAAAGUCAUGGUUAAGUGGGAAACGAUGUGGGAAGGCCCAGACAGCCAGGAUGUUGGCUUAGAAGCAGCCAUCAUUUAAAGAAAGCGUAAUAGCUCACUGGUCGAGUCGGCCUGCGCGGAAGAUGUAACGGGGCUAAACCAUGCACCGAAGCUGCGGCAGCGACGCUUAUGCGUUGUUGGGUAGGGGAGCGUUCUGUAAGCCUGCGAAGGUGUGCUGUGAGGCAUGCUGGAGGUAUCAGAAGUGCGAAUGCUGACAUAAGUAACGAUAAAGCGGGUGAAAAGCCCGCUCGCCGGAAGACCAAGGGUUCCUGUCCAACGUUAAUCGGGGCAGGGUGAGUCGACCCCUAAGGCGAGGCCGAAAGGCGUAGUCGAUGGGAAACAGGUUAAUAUUCCUGUACUUGGUGUUACUGCGAAGGGGGGACGGAGAAGGCUAUGUUGGCCGGGCGACGGUUGUCCCGGUUUAAGCGUGUAGGCUGGUUUUCCAGGCAAAUCCGGAAAAUCAAGGCUGAGGCGUGAUGACGAGGCACUACGGUGCUGAAGCAACAAAUGCCCUGCUUCCAGGAAAAGCCUCUAAGCAUCAGGUAACAUCAAAUCGUACCCCAAACCGACACAGGUGGUCAGGUAGAGAAUACCAAGGCGCUUGAGAGAACUCGGGUGAAGGAACUAGGCAAAAUGGUGCCGUAACUUCGGGAGAAGGCACGCUGAUAUGUAGGUGAGGUCCCUCGCGGAUGGAGCUGAAAUCAGUCGAAGAUACCAGCUGGCUGCAACUGUUUAUUAAAAACACAGCACUGUGCAAACACGAAAGUGGACGUAUACGGUGUGACGCCUGCCCGGUGCCGGAAGGUUAAUUGAUGGGGUUAGCGCAAGCGAAGCUCUUGAUCGAAGCCCCGGUAAACGGCGGCCGUAACUAUAACGGUCCUAAGGUAGCGAAAUUCCUUGUCGGGUAAGUUCCGACCUGCACGAAUGGCGUAAUGAUGGCCAGGCUGUCUCCACCCGAGACUCAGUGAAAUUGAACUCGCUGUGAAGAUGCAGUGUACCCGCGGCAAGACGGAAAGACCCCGUGAACCUUUACUAUAGCUUGACACUGAACAUUGAGCCUUGAUGUGUAGGAUAGGUGGGAGGCUUUGAAGUGUGGACGCCAGUCUGCAUGGAGCCGACCUUGAAAUACCACCCUUUAAUGUUUGAUGUUCUAACGUUGACCCGUAAUCCGGGUUGCGGACAGUGUCUGGUGGGUAGUUUGACUGGGGCGGUCUCCUCCUAAAGAGUAACGGAGGAGCACGAAGGUUGGCUAAUCCUGGUCGGACAUCAGGAGGUUAGUGCAAUGGCAUAAGCCAGCUUGACUGCGAGCGUGACGGCGCGAGCAGGUGCGAAAGCAGGUCAUAGUGAUCCGGUGGUUCUGAAUGGAAGGGCCAUCGCUCAACGGAUAAAAGGUACUCCGGGGAUAACAGGCUGAUACCGCCCAAGAGUUCAUAUCGACGGCGGUGUUUGGCACCUCGAUGUCGGCUCAUCACAUCCUGGGGCUGAAGUAGGUCCCAAGGGUAUGGCUGUUCGCCAUUUAAAGUGGUACGCGAGCUGGGUUUAGAACGUCGUGAGACAGUUCGGUCCCUAUCUGCCGUGGGCGCUGGAGAACUGAGGGGGGCUGCUCCUAGUACGAGAGGACCGGAGUGGACGCAUCACUGGUGUUCGGGUUGUCAUGCCAAUGGCACUGCCCGGUAGCUAAAUGCGGAAGAGAUAAGUGCUGAAAGCAUCUAAGCACGAAACUUGCCCCGAGAUGAGUUCUCCCUGACUCCUUGAGAGUCCUGAAGGAACGUUGAAGACGACGACGUUGAUAGGCCGGGUGUGUAAGCGCAGCGAUGCGUUGAGCUAACCGGUACUAAUGAACCGUGAGGCUUAACCUU
rnacentral:rRNA from 1 species